UUAUAAAAAGAACAGAAAAUGAGAGGUGCAUUGUCAAAUCUAUCGCAUCAAACGAUACUUUUUCAUAUAGUUUUAGAUAAACAUCAGAGAACAGUCCUUGAGUAGGUUCAUAGACACCGUCCUACACUUGGAAACUUCAAUUAAUUCUUCUCUACCCCACUUUUAUUAUUAAUUUAUCAAUUUCUUCAUGCACUCAAAUGUAUUCUUUGUAAGUUGAAACUUUUCUCUCAUUAUUUGUACAAGAACCCAAUGGGCUUUAGUCUCUAAUAUUAUAGAUUCGACCCUCUCGUUCUACAAUUGUUAGAGAUGGUUACACUUACUUGGUUUACACAUAUAUAGUCGCUCAUAGUUUCCAUUGAUGCCUUGUUUUCUCUUGUAUACUUGUUAUUGAGAACCAAAGAAUAAAAAAUCAAUUGGUUGCUAACAAGUGUAACAUGUCAUUAGCAUGGAUGGUAAUUUAAUAAUGAUGUUAUAUAUAGAAUAUUUAAACUGAAUCAGUAUUAAUCUCGUCGAAGAAUUUUCCCGGUUUACGAAUAACCAAGAUAUCUAUAAAUAGUACAAUAAACUUUAUUCCCAUACAGUGUGGUCCCUUGUCUAUUACCAUGCAAAAUUUGAGUUUACGACAAAUAACACAAAGUUAAAAAAAAACCUCCAUGCGUGAACGACACACCACAGUCAUAUAAAGAAGCACUAAGUUACUACGUCAUAAUCUAAUUGGUUCAGUCUAGUGAAUAAAAACGACGGAACAGUAGUCACUCUCUUAGUUAAGUUUCCUGAGCAAACAAAUCAAAACCUCUUUCUCUCUUCUUCUUCUUCUUCUUCUUCUUCUUCUUCUUCUUCUUCUUCUUCUUCUUUAGUGGUUUCUUUGUUUCGUGAUUUUAAUAACAAUGGCCAAAUUUGACAUUAAAAGUGGUGGUAUCGAUCUCUAUCCGGAGAUGAAAGAGAGUUCAGAGCUUCGCUGGACUUUCAUCAGAAAAGUUUAUGUCAUCUUGAUGCUCCUUUCUGCCUUUUAUCUCGGAGUAACCGCCGUUGUUUCUUUCGUCGAUCUCAUCACCAAUCCCGACCACCCCCUCGACUUCUUUUUCGUCUUCGUCGUGCUUCAUAUCCUUCUGAAAGAACUAGCAGAAACUAGAAAGGCAUGGGGAAACUAAUUAAAGAGAAUGCACGAGAAGAUGAGACAGAGAUCCGACUAGUCCAAGCUAUAAGGACGUGUCUCAAAACCUAUCUAUGAUUUGUUCUUGAAUUUUCUAGCGUUUGAUUUGUAUGUAAUUGUUGAAGAAUCUAUGGUAUUAAUCGUUCUCUUUUAAGAAGAUUCUGAAUGAAGUCUCUGUAUUUUGUGGUUA